rnacentral:rRNA from 1 species
CGACGCUGAUGCACGAAAGCGUGGGGAGCAAACAGGAUUAGAGUAGUCCACGCCCUAAACGAUGUCAACUGGUUGUUGGGGAAGGCAAAUUAGUAACGAAGCUAACGCGUGAAGUUGACCGGAGUACGGCCGCAAGGUUAAAACUCAAAGGAAUUGACGGGCACAAGCGGUGGAUGAUGUGGAGUUAAUUCGAUGCAACGCGAAGAACCUUACUUGACAUGCCAGGAACUCUGCUGAGAGGUAGAGGUGCCCGAAAGGGAGCACAGGUGCUGCAUGGCUGUCGUCAGCUCGUGUCGUGAGAUGUUGGGUUAAGUCCCGAGCGCCAACCCUUGUCACUAGUUGCUACGGAAACGGGCACUCUAGUGAGACUGCCGGUGACAAACCGGAGGAAGGUGGGGAUGACGUCAAGUCCUACAUGGCCCAUGGGUAGGGCUUCACACGUCAUACAAUGGCGCAUACAGAGGGUAGCCAACGGGAGCCAGAUCUCAGAAAGUGCGUCGUAGUCCGGAUUGCAGUCUGCAACUCGACUGCAUGAAGUCGGAAUCGCUAGUAAUCGCGGAUCAGCAAUGCGGUGAAUACGUUUCCCGGGUCUUGUACACACCGCCCGUCACACCAUGGGAGGUGGGUUUCACCAGAAGCAGGUAGCUUAACCCGC